rnacentral:snRNA from 1 species
AUCUGUUCUGAUCAGUUUAAUAUCUGAUAUGUCCUUUAUUUGAGGACUGUAUCUUAACUUGAUUUUUGAAACAGGGAGAUGGAAUAGGAGCUUGCUCUGUCCACCCCAUGCAUUGACCUGGUAUUGCAGUGUCUCCAGGAACGGUAA